rnacentral:tRNA from 1 species
GGGCAAGUGGUGGAAUGGCAUACACGAUGGACUUAAAAUCCAUUGGCCUUCGGGCUGUGAGGGUUCAACUCCCUCCUUGCCCA